rnacentral:rRNA from 1 species
UAGUAACGGCGAGUGAAGAGGGAAAAGCUCAAAUUUUGAAUCUGGUGUCUUUGACUCCCGAGUUGUAAUCUAGAGAAGUGUUUUCCGCGUUGGACCGUGUACAAGUUCCCUGGAACGGGGCGUCAUAGAGGGUGAGAAUCCCGUAUAUGCCACGGACUACCAAUGCUCUGUGAUACACUCUCAACGAGUCGAGUUGUUUGGGAAUGCAGCUCAAAAUGGGUGGUAAAUUCCAUCUAAAGCUAAAUAUUGGCGAGAGACCGAUAGCGAACAAGUACCGUGAGGGAAAGAUGAAAAGCACUUUGGAAAGAGAGUGAAACAGUACGUGAAAUUGUUGAAAGGGAAGCGUUUGAAGUCAGUCACGUCUGUCGGAAUUCAGCCUGGCUUCUGCCUGGUGUACUUUCCGUCCGACGGGUCAGCAUCAAUUUUGAUCGAGGGAAAAAGACAUGAGGAAUGUGGCUGUCUUCGGGCAGUGUUAUAGACUCGUGUUGUAUGUCUCGGUUGGGAUUGAGGAACGCAGCGCGCCUAUUGGCCGGGGGUUCGCGCCCCUCGGUACGCGCUUAGGA